GCAAGAAUGAGCAAGAAAAGCCAAAAAACAGAAGUGAUAUGUGGGGACUAUUUUGCCAAGGUCAAGAAGAUCAUGAAGCUUUUUGAAAAGACGUUUCUCCACAACAUCAGCAACUGGAAGAAAUGGAAAGGUCAAGUUACAACUUCAACAAAGAAAGGGCACUUCUCGGUGCUCGCUCUGGGGGUGAAUGCAGAGCCAAGGAAAUUCUCAUUGGCUUUAGAUUAUCUUUCUCAUCCUACUUUUAUCAAGUUACUAGAAGAAGCAGAAAGAGAAUUUGGAUAUUACCAGCAAGGCGUGAUAGUCAUACCAUGUGAAGCCAGUGAGAUCCAAAGACUUCUUUUACGCUGAGAUUGCCAUACAAUGCUGCAGUACAUAGGAGUUAAGAACCGUGUGCAACUAAAUGAAAAUAAGUACAGAAGGGUUUGAGGUACCGAAAAGUAAAAAAAUUGAUAACUACAAUGCACAUUGCAUGUAUGUGAGUUUGUGUUGCAUGAUUGUUUCAAAUAAACAAAAUGCAAAAACCAUGUAAGACUUGGAUGAAUCUAAAUCAUUAUUUGCAACUUUAAUCCUCGACCAUAUCAGCUGUAAACUGAAAUGGGGCUGCCAGACCCUGAAUUUUCCAUUAGACGCGUUGAAAGCAAAAUAUUUGUAGGAAAUUUAAUAUAGCUAACAGUAGAUCAUAGAAAAGGAACACACUUAGUUUUCUACCCUUCUGGCUUCACACCAAAUGCAUUUUGUUGGUGAUUAAAUUGUGGUUUGAGUAAAAACUUGGAGCUUCAUGUUUUGUGGUAAUAAACUGAAUUUAGCCUAUCUUAGGCUUUGUGUAGAUUGUUGCCUCAUUGAGUUUCACAAAUCAGUUGAGUAGGCAACUAAAACCAAUCACUAUAAUUCUAUAGAAAUAGUACAGUGACAUUAACUGGUGUAUUGAUAAGGCACUGAAUGAGAUAGAGUGCAGAGGGUGUCAAUAACGAAAUCAACAAAAGUAGUCAGUCAGUCAAGAAUGACACUGAAUCGUGAUUUAUAAACAACAUAAGAAAAGCCCUUCAAACGAAAUAUAUCAGAAAGAUUAUUCUGUCCAAGGAAAACUAGGAAGUCCAAUGAACCAUUUAUUCAGAAGCAGACAGUGGCAGAUAAGGCUGGUAGAUGUUUUGCACAAAAGAUCAUCUCUUAACCAUAAAGUAGUAAAUAUUACCAGUGUACAACCACAAUUUUAGGGCCUGAAUAACAAUAGCAUGAUUGAAAAUGUCUUUCUGCAGCAGAAAUCGGACGCAGUUCACAGUUGAUCAAAAAAUCUAAGUACUAUAACAUAUAAAAGCAUCCCGAUUAUUACAAAUGAUGCACCUAGUCUAGAUAUCCAGCAACAGUAACUGAGAGCACACAGAAUGGGAUAGAAAUCAGUUGAAUAAAACCAUUAGAAAUAUAUUCACGUUGCAGAAUUCAUUGCUGUUAAUACUUCAAAUACAAAAGAGGAAAGAGAUUAAAACUUCACAAGGUUUGAGAGAACACCACAAACAAUUAGCCUGGACAAGGCAACUUCAGCAAUUUAAUGAUGACAAAGGUUGUAAGGUUUGCAAGAAAUGCCAUAAGUAUAUUUUCUUCCGCAAAAUUAAUUGACGAUACUAGUGCCGCUGACAAAAGCAUAAUGAAGAAUCAAAUUAUCACUAUAUUUAUUAAUAUUCUUACUUCUUCCAGUUGGAUAACUCCAAGUGGCUGUGGGAUAUUUCUACCAAUUGGAGCUCUUGCCCAUGGGGAUGGUCUACACUGUUCAUAGUUGUCCUCUUACUACAAGUCGCUUACCUAGGCAAUGCUUAGACCCACUCAACCCGAACUUUUUUGGUUCAGUUCACCUGUACAUUCCCCAAUUGUCUGAUUGUUGCUAAGCAGUUUUGGGAUAUCAAACGGACCUCCCUCGGAAGCAUUUUAACAUUCCCCCUUUUGCAAUAAAUUUCGUCAGCACAUGUUGCUCUAGCUAAUUGUCCUAAGAAAUAUUUGAUUUGCAGAAAUAUUUACCACUUAUUAAACAAACUAUACCAUCACCUUAGAUCAACGAAUGGAGGAGUUUUACUCAUUGCCCACUAUACUUCAUUCCAGUUUCAUGAAUACAAUAGAACCCAAAAACUCUUUCUGUGAUCUAAGUGAUCACUGAUGAUCAUCAAGUAGCUAUGAUCUUGUCAAAUUUAAAACACAAGUUAAGCACCUACUAGAUUGGCAUAAUGACACUGGAAACAAUCGCCUAUAUCUGUUUAAUAGAAGCAGCAAGUGGUAGACUCGUGAAUCCAAAUUACAAGGUUAUCAAAACUGUGAAUGAACAGGCAGAAGGAGGGAAAACCAUAGGCAUUCAUGAAGAGUAGAUGACAGGGAUCAGUAUCAUAAGAGAAGCAUCAUAUUAUGUUGUACUCACAUCUCCUAAGGAAAAAAUGACUCAGUUUCAUGGGGAGACAUGGAUUCAGUUAUAAUCGCGAGGGUGGGGGGUAGGGGGAUGGCAGUCUGGCAGAAUUACAGUUAUACUAUUCCAAGCUGCACACUUCAGGAUGUUUAAAUGACAAGUUAAAUCAUUUGACAUGAGAAAGCCAAACACUAAGCUAUAAGUAAAAUGGCACAUCAACUUUUUUGAAGUAUAGAUAUUAUUAGUUGCAAUUUUGGUACUCAAAUUAGUGUUUCAUCUAUUCUUAGUCCACAAAUUAUUCUUGUCCCCAGUUUUACUUCCAAUUUGCAUGAAAAAGAAAAAGAAUCACAGUCAAUGACCUUAAAAAUUACAUGAUUCCGUUAGAAAUCCUUGAUAGUUUCCAUUUUUAUUCAUACUUCCUCCUUUUUCAUUUGUUUGAUAAGAUAAGGGAACAGAUCAGUAAUUGGAGAAUUAAACAACUAACCUCCAAAAAUGCUUUGCGCUACAUCAGACUUCAUCAUAGACUUGUGGCAUUCACAGGACAACUAUAGUUUGUCUGACUUCUAUCUAGCCUAGUUAAGUGUUGAUCUUCCUAACAGAAUAUGAAAGAACCCAUCAAGCAAGCCAUUCCAUCAACAAAUUUACAACUGAGUCAACUCCUGCUGGUUUUCCAUAGCUUGCCUAAGUAUCAGGUUUGCUCUCCUCUUCUUGUCAUUUUUCUCUUCAUCCCGCCUGAACCCCGAUGCUCUCUCUGAGAACUCUUGUUCUUAAGUCUCGGACCCAAAGAACCGCACAAGACUUUCUUACGGUCUUACCAGAUCUACACUCUAAACAUACAGCAUGCUUCUUAUCAGGAGGUUUUUCUCCAUGUCAUAUCCAGUUUCAGAAGGAUCAUCCUUCAUUGUCUCGAUUGCAGCAGAAAACAACUCCAGCAAAAAAAACAUGGAUUUUGUCCAUUUCAUUGUAAAGUUUAGCUCCAAUAGGAACUGCAGCCUAUAUCUUUUUCUCCCUUCCUUUGCUGUCUUUGGUAACUCAAUUUUACCAGCUUAAGGAUCAGAUACCCUCUCAUUCUAUGCAAAUGUGUGUAUGCAAGUAAACCGAUCAGGAAAUGAAGGCAGCCAUAAAGGUAAUCCUCUUGAGCUAAUUUCACAAACUCAACAAUAUCCGUGAUAAUACAAGAAUCCAAAUCCACAAUGAUUCACCUCUAAUGCACCUAUGAUCACAUAUGGACUUCACCAUUGAAAACCUUCAAUUCUAAACAUUUUCACAUAUCUGUACCACCGCAAUUCUCAAUAUUUUACCUUAAUUAAAAAAACCUAACUUUUCAGCUCAAACUUUGAGUUACUUAUACAACACAGAGUACCACUAACAAAAAACCUAAUUUGCAAUUGAAACACAAAAAGAAUCAAAAACUUAUUCAACAAACAAAAUACAAACCUGGAAAUCCCUCAAUUUUACGGUAUACACACAGAUUCGGGCCGGCGGAGUAAAUUGAAUUCCAAAAAAUGCAACAACUUUGAGAGCAAAAGAGAGAAGAUAUGUAAUUGCUGCAAAGAGGGAAGAUUAUCG
rnacentral:lncRNA from 1 species